rnacentral:tRNA from 1 species
GCCAAGGAAGCAUAGUGGUUUGAGCACUGAACUAUGACUCUGGAGACCAGGGUUUGAAUCCCUGCUUUGCCA